rnacentral:rRNA from 1 species
UACGUAGGGGGCUAGCGUUGUCCGGAUUUAUUGGGCGUAAAGAGCGUGUAGGCGGCCAGGUAGGUCUGCUGUGAAAACUCGAGGCUCAACCUCGAGACGUCGGUUGAAACCGUAAGGCUAGAGUCCGGAAGAGGAGAGUGGAAUUCCCGGUGUAGCGGUGAAAUGCGCAGAUAUCGGGAGGAACACCAGUGGCGAAGGCGACUUCCUGGCCUGUUCUUGACGCUGAGGCGCGAAAGCUAGGGGAGCAAACGGG